rfam:Hordeum vulgare subsp. vulgare, WGS project CAJW01000000 data, contig: morex_contig_139501
CCGAUUGAUGAUGAAGAGCUAAUCUCCUACAUCACCGAUGGACUCGGCAUGGAGUACCACCCACUCAUCUUUGCCAACAACGCUCGCACCGAGUCCAUCAGCCUCGACGACCUCUUCGCUCAGAUGAGCAACUUUGACC